UGCCCUAGUAACGGCGAGUGAAGCGGCAACAGCUCAAAUUUGAAAUCUGGCUACCUUUUCGUAGUCCGAGUUGUAAUUUGUAGAGGAUGCUUUUGGUGAGGUGCCUUCCGAGUUCCCUGGAACGGGACGCCAUAGAGGGUGAGAGCCCCGUACGGUUGGAUACCAAGCCUCUGUAUAGCUCCUUCAACGAGUCGAGUAGUUUGGGAAUGCUGCUCUAAAUGGGAGGUAUAUCUCUUCUAAAGCUAAAUAUAGGCUAGAGACCGAUAGCGCACAAGUAGAGUGAUCGAAAGAUGAAAAGCACUUUGAAAAGAGAGUUAAACAGCACGUGAAAUUGUUGAAAGGGAAGCGCCUAUGACCAGACUUGCUUCUGGCAGUUUUGUUAGCCCUCGGGCUGAUUUACUCUGUCCAGUACAGGCCAGCAUCAGUUUGCUGUCGGGGAGAAAGGCUCUGGGAAUGUAGCUCCCCCCUUCUGGGGGGGAGUGUUAUAGCCCUCUGCAUAAUACCCUUCGGCAGACUGAGGACCGCGCUUCGGCAAGGAUGCUGGCGUAAUGGUCAUCAGCGACCCGUCUUGAAACACGGACCAAGGAGUCAACCUUAUGUGCGAGUGUUUGGGUGUAAAACCCCAGCGCGUAAUGAAAGUGAACGUAGGUGAGAGCUUCGGCGCAUCAUCGACCGAUUCUGAUGUUUUCGGAUGGAUUUGAGUAAGAGCACACAGGGUUGGACCCGAAAGAAGGUGAACUAUGCUUGUAUAGGGUGAAGCCAGAGGAAACUCUGGUGGAGGCUCGCAGCGGUUCUGACGUGCAAAUCGAUCGUCAAAUAUGAGCAUGGGGGCGAAAG
rnacentral:rRNA from 1 species